AACCUGGUUGGGUGGUCUGCCUUCACGGUACGUACUGCCCGGCCGGGUUCUACCUCUUGGUGAGCCGGCAUGCCCUUCACUGGGUGUGUCGGGGAACCAGGACUUUUACCUUGAGAAAAUUAGAGUGUUCAAAGCAGGCCUUUGCCCGAAUACAUUAGCAUGGCAUAAUAAAAUAGGACGUGCGGUUCUAUUUUGUUGGUUUUAAGGACCAAUGUC
rnacentral:rRNA from 1 species